UACGUAGGGUGCAAGCGUUGUCCGGAAUUAUUGGGCGUAAAGAGCUCGUAGGCGGUCUGUCGCGUCUGCUGUGAAAACUCAGGGCUUAACCCUGAGCUUGCAGUGGGUACGGGCAGACUAGAGUGCGGUAGGGGAGACUGGAAUUCCUGGUGUAGCGGUGGAAUGCGCAGAUAUCAGGAGGAACACCGAUGGCGAAGGCAGAUCUCUGGGCCACUACUGACGCUGAGAAGCGAAAGCAUGGGGAGCGAACAGG
rnacentral:rRNA from 1 species